UUACGCAUAUUCGGGGCAGGCGUCACCUAUGACGCAGGGAAGUCGGUGCGAAUCCGACGCGGUGCCGCCACUGUGAUGGGGAGGGCGCUUCUAAAGCCACCGGGAAAUCGGGAAGGCGAAGCGUUCCGAUGAGCUUGAGCCAGGAGACCUGACUGCCCCUACCGAUAGAA
rnacentral:ncRNA from 2 species